UAAUUAAUAAUUUAAUGAAUAAAUGAAUUCAUUAACGUUUUGCUUCUAGGCAAGAACAAAAAAGAAAACAAUGUAGAAAUUGUGUACAGUAUUUGAACACCAACAAAUCAGAAAGCUAUAGCUAUUUAAUGGAAUUAACGAUUGUGUGAAAUUGGUUCAAGUUACAUCAACUUUCCCUUAAUAAGCCUACUUUAAAAACAAAAUCUACAGUAUUACUUUUUCUCAGUAAUAUUGAUAGCAAAUAAAUCCUACGUGUACAUGAAACAACUUUUCUUGGUGUUAAAAUAGAUUUUGAAUUUUCAUGGACGUCUAAUAAUUAUGGUAUUUGUAACAUAAUGAAUAUAAUACUAAUUGAGUUCAUAUAACAUACUAGCUAUUUCUAGGGUUAAGUUAUUAUUUCCCUGUAUUUUGAAAUUAUUAUAUGGUAUUUAUUUUCUUACUAAGGUUUCCCAGUGGUAAUUGCCUUGGUUUCUGUACUAAUUGUUGUUCAUAUCUAUAUCGAUGAGACUAAGUGGCGUUUUACAUAUAAACAAUACUGUAUAUGGAGUUGGAAGCACGAAGACGACUUUACAAUAACAAACUAAUGUGGCGUUUUACAUAUAAACAAUACUGUAUAUGGAGUUAGAAGCACGAAGACGAAUUUACAUUAACAAACUAAUUGAGGACACACAUCCACAAAUAUCAGGAAAGGAUGCCCGAACUCGAUCAUGAAAUUGAAACGGAAUUUAUCAAUUAUUUAUAGAUAGUUAAAUGUUAUCACUCAUCAAGGUGCCUGCAAAAAUCCGGGAUAUGAAAUUAAUUAACAUACUGUGUGAAUUUUAUUGUUUUUAAAUUUUCCUCUGCAAAAAAUCUCAAAUAUAAUGUUAGCAAUAUUUAUUAAUUUGUAUAAGCUUUAUAUGAUUAUUAGUCCUAUACAUUAUUGUAUUAUUACUAGUAAUAUUUAUCUAAAUAAUAGAGAAAAUAACCAGUACUAUUGUUUUAAACAAUAUAGACAUAUGUAAGAUAAUAAGAUAUACAAUUUUGAGGAUUAAAACCAGACAUAGGCUUAUUGAUUUUUGCCGAAUGUACAUGUAAUAUAUAUUUUUCAAAAUAUAUAAGAAUAUCCCAACUUGCGUUUCAAUGCUUGGAAAUAAAGAUCAA